rnacentral:rRNA from 1 species
AGCAAGCACCGGCUAACUUCGUGCCAGCAGCCGCGGUAAUACGAGGGGUGCAAGCGUUAAUCGGAAUUACUGGGCGUAAAGCGUUCGUAGGCGGUUAUUUAAGCAAGAUGUGAAAGCCCAGGGCUCAACCUUGGAACUGCAUUUUGAACUGGGUAACUAGAGUACUGUAGAGGGUGGUGGAAUUUCCAGUGUAGCGGUGAAAUGCGUAGAGAUUGGAAGGAACAUCAGUGGCGAAGGCGGCCACCUGGACAGAUACUGACGCUGAGGGACGAAAGCGUGGGGAGCGAACAGGAUUAGAUACCCUGGUAGUCCACGCCGUAAACGAUGUCAACUAGCCGUUCGUGGACUUGAUCCGUGAGUGGCGCAGCUAACGCACUAAGUUGACCGCCUGGGGAGUACGGCCGCAAGGUUAAAACUCAAAUGAAUUGACGGGGGCCCGCACAAGCGGUGGAGCAUGUGGUUUAAUUCGAUGCAACGCGAAGAACCUUACCAUCCCUUGACAUCUUACUAAGAGACUAGAGAUAGACUUGUGCCUUCGGGAAAGUAGUGACAGGUGCUGCAUGGCUGUCGUCAGCUCGUGUUGUGAAAUGUUGGGUUAAGUCCCGCAAUGAGCGCAACCCCUAUCCUUAUUUGCCAGCGCGUUAUGGCGGGAACUCUAAGGAGACUGCCGGUGAUAAACCGGAGGAAGGUGGGGACGACGUCAAGUCAUCAUGGCCCUUACGGGAUGGGCUACACACGUGCUACAAUGGCAGUACAGAGGGCAGCGAUACCGCGAGGUUGAGCGAAUCCCACAAAGCUUGUCGUAGUCCGGAUUGAGUCUGCAACUCGACUCCAUGAAGUCGGAA